CCUCCUUUACUUGGAAGGAUCAGGUUUUGUAGUACCUGGUUCUGUAAUGUCCGGUGGUGAAGAAAUUAUUUUCCAGUGUUCUGUCUUCAGUGCCAGCGGCUUUACCAUCCACUGGUUCUGUCCUCAAGCACUGGAAAAAAU
rnacentral:snoRNA from 1 species